GAUGAACGCUGGCGGCGUGCCUAAUACAUGCAAGUCGAGCGAACGGACGAGAAGCUUGCUUCUCUGAUGUUAGCGGCGGACGGGUGAGUAACACGUGGAUAACCUACCUAUAAGACUGGGAUAACUUCGGGAAACCGGAGCUAAUACCGGAUAAUAUUUUGAACCGCAUGGUUCAAAAGUGAAAGACGGUCUUGCUGUCACUUAUAGAUGGAUCCGCGCUGCAUUAGCUAGUUGGUAAGGUAACGGCUUACCAAGGCAACGAUGCAUAGCCGACCUGAGAGGGUGAUCGGCCACACUGGAACUGAGACACGGUCCAGACUCCUACGGGAGGCAGCAGUAGGGAAUCUUCCGCAAUGGGCGAAAGCCUGACGGAGCAACGCCGCGUGAGUGAUGAAGGUCUUCGGAUCGUAAAACUCUGUCAUUAGGGAAGAACAUAUGUGUAAGUAACUGUGCACAUCUCGACGGUACCUAAUCAGAAAGCCACGGCUAACUACGUG
rnacentral:rRNA from 1 species